GUGCUCGCUUCAGCAGUACAUAUACUAAAACUGGAACGAUACAGAGACGACUACCAUGGCCUCUGCACAAGGGUGACAUACAAAUUCAUGAAGCAUUCCAUAGUUUU